UCAGAUUUUUCAGAAAUAUUUACCGAAUACUGGCUUGAUAACCCUAUUAAUAUAGUAGACUACUUGUUUAGUACUGGACAAGAUGUUAUCCGAUCUACCCUUGAUAGCUAUGAAAGUUUACUUUCGGAUAUUAACAUUCGCCUAAAAGUCCCUGUUCUAAACAGAAUAACAAAUUCUAAGCGAGAAAGAUAUAUUGGUAAACUAGUGAAGUAUACAGGAAUGAUUUAUGAUAUGCGAGAUCCUGAUUACUAUUUUCCCGAAUUUGAGUAUUCUUGCUCGCGCACUAAUUUGCAAAAGAAGAAUACUUUAAUUUUUCGGGAGAUCAAAUCCUUGCAGGCUG